UAAGCGACUAAGCGUACACGGUGGAUGCCUAGGCAGUCAGAGGCGAUGAAGGGCGUGCUAAUCUGCGAAAAGCGUCGGUAAGCUGAUAUGAAGCGUUAUAACCGACGAUACCCGAAUGGGGAAACCCAGUGCAAUACGUUGCACUAUCGUUAGAUGAAUACAUAGUCUAACGAGGCGAACCGGGGGAACUGAAACAUCUAAGUACCCCGAGGAAAAGAAAUCAACCGAGAUUCCCCCAGUAGCGGCGAGCGAACGGGGAGGAGCCCAGAGUCUGAAUCAGUUUGUGUGUUAGUGGAAGCGUCUGGAAAGUCGCACGGUACAGGGUGAUAGUCCCGUACACCAAAAUGCACAGGCUGUGAACUCGAUGAGUAGGGCGGGACACGUGACAUCCUGUCUGAAUAUGGGGGGACCAUCCUCCAAGGCUAAAUACUCCUGACUGACCGAUAGUGAACCAGUACCGUGAGGGAAAGGCGAAAAGAACCCCGGCGAGGGGAGUGAAAUAGAACCUGAAACCGUGUACGUACAAGCAGUGGGAGCACCUUCGUGGUGUGACUGCGUACCUUUUGUAUAAUGGGUCAGCGACUUAUAUUUUGUAGCAAGGUUAACCGAAUAGGGGAGCCGUAGGGAAACCGAGUCUUAACUGGGCGUCUAGUUGCAAGGUAUAGACCCGAAACCCGGUGAUCUAGCCAUGGGCAGGUUGAAGGUUGGGUAACACUAACUGGAGGACCGAACCGACUAAUGUUGAAAAAUUAGCGGAUGACUUGUGGCUGGGGGUGAAAGGCCAAUCAAACCGGGAGAUAGCUGGUUCUCCCCGAAAGCUAUUUAGGUAGCGCCUCGUGAACUCAUCUUCGGGGGUAGAGCACUGUUUCGGCUAGGGGGCCAUCCCGGCUUACCAAACCGAUGCAAACUCCGAAUACCGAAGAAUGUUAUCACGGGAGACACACGGCGGGUGCUAACGUCCGUCGUGAAGAGGGAAACAACCCAGACCGCCAGCUAAGGUCCCAAAGUCAUGGUUAAGUGGGAAACGAUGUGGGAAGGCACAGACAGCCAGGAUGUUGGCUUAGAAGCAGCCAUCAUUUAAAGAAAGCGUAAUAGCUCACUGGUCGAGUCGGCCUGCGCGGAAGAUGUAACGGGGCUAAACCAUGCACCGAAGCUGCGGCAGCGACACUUAGGUGUUGUUGGGUAGGGGAGCGUUCUGUAAGCCGUUGAAGGUGACCUGUGAGGGUUGCUGGAGGUAUCAGAAGUGCGAAUGCUGACAUAAGUAACGAUAAUGCGGGUGAAAAACCCGCACGCCGGAAGACCAAGGGUUCCUGUCCAACGUUAAUCGGGGCAGGGUGAGUCGACCCCUAAGGCGAGGCUGAAAAGCGUAGUCGAUGGGAAACAGGUUAAUAUUCCUGUACUUGGUGUUACUGCGAAGGGGGGACGGAGAAGGCUAGGCUGGCCGGGCGACGGUUGUCCCGGUUUAAGCGUGUAGGGGGAGUGACCAGGUAAAUCCGGUUGCUUAUCAACCCUGAGGCGUGAUGACGAUGCACUACGGUGCAGAAGCAGUUGAUGCCAUGCUUCCAGGAAAAGCCUCUAAGCAUCAGGUAACAUUAAAUCGUACCCCAAACCGACACAGGUGGUCAGGUAGAGAAUACUCAGGCGCUUGAGAGAACUCGGGUGAAGGAACUAGGCAAAAUGGUGCCGUAACUUCGGGAGAAGGCACGCUGGCGUUAGGUGAAAGGACUAGCUCCUGGAGCUGAAGCCAGUCGCAGAUACCAGCUGGCUGCAACUGUUUAAUAAAAACACAGCACUGUGCAAACACGAAAGUGGACGUAUACGGUGUGACGCCUGCCCGGUGCUGGAAGGUUAAUUGAUGGGGUCAGCCGCAAGGCGAAGCUCUUGAUCGAAGCCCCAGUAAACGGCGGCCGUAACUAUAACGGUCCUAAGGUAGCGAAAUUCCUUGUCGGGUAAGUUCCGACCUGCACGAAUGGCGUAAUGAUGGCCAGGCUGUCUCCACCCGAGACUCAGUGAAAUUGAACUCGCUGUGAAGAUGCAGUGUACCCGCGGCAAGACGGAAAGACCCCGUGAACCUUUACUAUAGCUUGACACUGAACAUUGAGCCUUGAUGUGUAGGAUAGGUGGGAGGCCUUGAAGUGUGGACGCCAGUCUGCAUGGAGCCAACCUUGAAAUACCACCCUUUAAUGUUUGAUGUUCUAACUCGGCCCCAUGAUCUGGGGUGAGGACAGUGUCUGGUGGGUAGUUUGACUGGGGCGGUCUCCUCCCAAAGAGUAACGGAGGAGCACGAAGGUUAGCUAAUCACGGUCGGACAUCGUGAGGUUAGUGCAAAGGCAUAAGCUAGCUUGACUGCGAGAGUGACGGCUCGAGCAGGUACGAAAGUAGGUCUUAGUGAUCCGGUGGUUCUGAAUGGAAGGGCCAUCGCUCAACGGAUAAAAGGUACUCCGGGGAUAACAGGCUGAUACCGCCCAAGAGUUCAUAUCGACGGCGGUGUUUGGCACCUCGAUGUCGGCUCAUCACAUCCUGGGGCUGAAGUAGGUCCCAAGGGUAUGGCUGUUCGCCAUUUAAAGUGGUACGCGAGCUGGGUUUAGAACGUCGUGAGACAGUUCGGUCCCUAUCUGCCGUGGGCGUUGGAAGAUUGAGAGGGGCUGCUCCUAGUACGAGAGGACCGGAGUGGACGAAUCACUGGUGUUCGGGUUGUCAUGCCAAUGGCAUUGCCCGGUAGCUAAAUUCGGAAGAGAUAACCGCUGAAAGCAUCUAAGCGGGAAACUUGCCUCGAGAUGAGUCUUCCCUGGGGCUUAAAGCCCCCUGAAGGAACGUUAAAGACUAUGACGUUGAUAGGCUGGGUGUGUAAGUGCAGCGAUGUAUUGAGCUAACCAGUACUAAUGAUCCGUGAGGCUUAACCU
rnacentral:rRNA from 2 species